GGAGAAAUUUGAUCCAUUGUUCUUUGAGGAAUUCUCCUUGAUUGAUUGUUCGGAGUUAUGAAAGGUCACUGCAGUUCAGAGUGCCUGCUCGGGGAGCAGUGGGUAAAGUAUAUAUAGUGUCCAUGGGCAAUAUUUUGGGCAUCUGUUUUUCUGUAACAAGGCUGCCACAAAGAGUUAUAGACAAAUGUCCUCAAGCAAUACUUGGCCUGAAAAAGCAACCGAAGAUAACACCAUGAUCAGUCUGAAGAAGGGUUUCAGCCCAAAACGUCGCCUAUUUUCUUCGCUCCAUAGAUGCUGCUGCACCCGCUGAGUUUCUCCAGCAAUUUUGUGUACCUGCGAUCUUCCAGCAUCUGCAGUUCCUUCUUGAACACCAUGAUCGUUUCUCUCAGUUCGGAACAGGGCCUUGUUAAGUAAAUGUUUCCACUUGCCCAUUAUGGGAUCCCGGACCAUGUCAGCCAAUUUGAGGGUAGCUAUAGAUGAGCAAUACAUGCUAGCCAAGCCAACGAUGCUGAGUUGUUGUGAAUGAAUUAGUUGGAGAUGGCACAGUCCAGAAUCACACAGUUGUGUUCUGUUCGGCAGAGUCAUACAGCACGCACACAGGCCUUUUGAUCCAAUUUGCCCACCAAGGUGCCCCAUCUACCCUAAUUCCAACUGCCGACAUGUGACCCAUGUCCCUCUAAACCUUUUCUAUCCAUAUACCUGUCCAAAUGUGGUUGUAGUAUUUGCUUCAAGUACCGCCUUUGGCACCUGUUCCAUAUACCCACCACUCUAUGUGUAAAUAAAAAGCCCCUCACAUUCCUAUUAAAUCUUUUCCAAAAUUUCCCAAAUUCAUUCGAAUUACGUUUAGGUCAUGAGCAGGGAGAUUUUUUGUGGUGCAUUGUGCUGGUUGAGCUGUUGGAUGAUCAAAGUGUAGCUGAUCUGACUAUAAAAAUGGGAAAAAGGCAGAGAAUUAAAAUAUUUUUAAAGAUAGAUUAUUUUUAACACAACUAUCAGAAAACAAUUGAAAUGGUUUAUAUAAUGUACAAAAAAUUGCUGAGUGCUGAAAUUGUCAAUUCUGUGUUGUCAACAGGAUCUUGACCAUCACUGUUUCUUCCUCAAAAAGUGCAUUGGGAAAAGAAAUCAUCGUUUUUUCUACACUUUACUCUUUUCCUUAACUGUCUAUUUUCUUCUCAUGCUUUCUUUCUGCACUAUCUUUCUAGUGAAAAAUCCCAAUGCACUAUUUCUAUCCAAGAUCAUCACUUUUAUUCUUGCUACAAUUUCGCUUCUUGCUUCUGUACCGUUAUUUUUCUUUUUCGCUUUCCACACUUACCUCAUUGCAGAUGGACUGACCACGUAUGAGCAGAUUUUGAGGUUAUAUAAAAGCGAUAAGAAUCCUUUUCACAAAGGAUGUUGGAGAAACUUUACUGCCCUGUUGUUCGGUAACCAGCUAUCGAGUUGUAAAACAGUGACUGAAGUCACUGAAGUCACAGUGAUCCCAGGUCAUCUGGUGGAAUGUCCAUCCGUCAGUUCAAAGUGUGCAGACACCACAUCUACGACUUUUAUAUCCAUCCUAUCUCGUUCCAAUGCUGUUGUUCCACUACCUGUCACUUUUGUUCCUACUUUGCCCAACCGCCCUCAAAGUGCCCCCUUGCCCACUUUCUCUUACCUUAAUGAAAACUCUGGUGCUCCAUUUCAAACUCUUUCCUCUCAACUGCUCUAUUUACCUGUUACCACAUUAUCUACCCAUUCCCCUGACAAUACUCACUCCAGCUCCCUCUCCUUAUAAAUGUCCUGCCUAAAUCUUAACUGCCACUGCUCGAAUCAACAGAACUGGAACGAAUAUAACAAACGAUUUUCCUUGUUACCUUCUCACUUCCCACUUGUUGCCUUCCCACCCCACUCCCCUUUCCUCCCCCCCUCUGCUUCUAUUUGGACUGAUGGAGGUGCAUUCCAAUGCCUGUGACCUGUGCAGCUAAAGGCGUGGUUGCCAAUGAAGGAACAACUGCAGUACUGAGACGGCUCCAACACAAAUGUGACAUUUGGGCAAAAUGAUUCUCCAUCAACGUGGAUCAAGAAGUUAGCAAUUCACAAACGUCUGUGAGGACAGGAAGAGGCAUAGAGGUAACAUUCUACAAAUGUGACUUAUUGGUGAGUUGCAGUUUCUAGUUGUUCUGUAUUGGUAUUUGUUUAUUAUUAGUGUGUACCAAGAUAGAGUGAAAAAUGUUGUUCACAUACUAUCCAGAUAAAUCAUACCAAAUACGAGUACAUCAGGUGCAGCAAAAGGGAAAAAGGGAACAGAUUGAUUAAAAACACAAUCACAACAGCCAAAAUUCCAGCAGCCUCCCAGUUUUCUUACUUUUUAAUCUCUGGUCUAUGACUGAUUUAGACUUGUUUAUUUGACCAUCCCGGGCAAUAAGGCCAGUUUCGACACCAUUAACUCUCCCCCAGAGUCCCCCACAAACAGUUUCUUGCUUAAAAUUGUGUGUGGGCUAUCUGUUAAACUUCUACUUUACAAGGUUGUUUCUUGAUAAUAAAUUAUUUGAUCUAUCUAUCACAUCAUGUUUGGUGUUGAGCUUGGAUAGGAUAAUGGUAUUAAAGAGCUGUAGUCUAUGAAUAGAAGUCUGACGUAGGUGUCUCUCUUAUCCAGGUGUUCCAGGGAUGAGUGUAGCAUCAGGGAGAUGGCAUCAGCCAUGGACCUGUUGCAGCAGUAGGCGAACUGCAGUGGGUCAAUGCUG